rnacentral:rRNA from 1 species
CCUACGGGUGGCUGCAGUGGGGGAUAUUGCACAAUGGGGGGAACCCUGAUGCAGCGCCGCCGCGGGGGUGAAGAAGCGCCUCGGCGCGUAAAGCCCUAUCAGCCGGGAAGAAAAUGACGGUACCUGAAUAAGAAGCCCCGGCUAACUACGUGCCAGCAGCCGCGGUAAUACUUAGGGGGCAAGCGUUAUCCGGAUUUACUGGGUGUAAAGGGGGCGCAGACGGCGAUGCAAGCCUGGAGUGAAAGGCCGGAGCCCAACCGCGGGACUGCUCUGGGAACUGGGGGGCUGGAGUGCAGGAGGGGCAGGCGGAAUUCCUGGUGUAGCGGUGAAAUGCGUAGAUAUCAGGAGGAACACCGGUGGCGAAGGCGGCUUGCUGGACUGCAACUGACGUUGAGGCCCGAAAGCGUGGGGAGCAAACAGGAUUAGAUACCCUUGUAGUC